CCAGGCAGUGUUUUGACAGGGCAAACAGCAGAGAAAGAACUGGCCGAGCGAGGGGGACGGGGAGCCGGGGCGCCAGAGCGAGAGACAGCGGGCGGGCAAGGAGCUGGCAGCGGCGCUGGGCAAGCGGGCGGGCCGGAGCGCCGGGCGGGGGAAGCCCGGGGGCCGCGGGCUCGGGAGCCAGGCAGGCAGGGCGAAGGGCUGCGCGCAGGGAGCGAGCGAGGCGGCGGCUGAGGCGCGGGUGGAUGGCCACAGGGACGCCGGGGAGCCGCUUCGGGCUGGUGGUCUCGGGCCCCCACCGUCCCCUGAGGCAGCCCCGGGGGGCGCUGCGCUGCACGUUCCGCUCCUGCCGGCUCUGCGCGCCUCGGAGCCUGGGGUCUGAGGUGGGAGUGUGAUGUGAGCCGCUGGGCGAGCGGCGGAGAGAAGUGCCAAGAGGAGGCGGGUUCGGGACGGGAGAGGAGAGCGAGUUAGUCAGCAGAGGUCGGCCGAGGGGGCCGAGGAGCCGGCCAGCCCGAGAGCGCCAUGAAAACAACUCUCCUGCGGGGAGAGGGGCAGGCGCGGCGCUCCGUGCGGCGGGGCUGAAGGAAAUCCGGGGCCGCCGCGGGACGGAAGGGGCUGCGCAGAGCGCGGGGCGAGCCCCCGGCUGUAAACACCUCCCUCGGAGCCAGUCGCGGAGGACUGGCUGGGAGUUGGUAGGGUCGCUCCGGGACAGCCCGGAACUGUUUGUUUGGGGCUGGGGGCUGGGCAGGAGGAGGUGGCUCGGGUUUCGGUGUAAACUUGGCGACGGUGCCGCAGGAAGGCUAGCCAGAGGGUAGUUACACAGGUGAGGCCCGGCGGGGCGGGCGGAGCGCUUGGGAGGCACCGGGGACUGGAGGUGCCUGGCUGUGCCCAGGCACCAGGUGGGAGAAUUUCCAUACCAGCCCUUGCGGAGGUGCCACUGUUUCCAGAGGCGUUUUUGUACGAAGGGCUUUUUGAAAACGAAGCAGAAGCCGUAGAAUCAGCAGCGAGCCUGUUGAAAGAACCCACACGUGCAUUUCACAACACUCUGGGUGAAAAUUGGAUGUGAAAAUGAAGCCAGACCGAGAAAUGAGAUCUCACUCUGUUGCCUAGGCUUGUCUUAAAUUCCUGUCCUCAAGCGAUCCUCCUGUCUCAACCUCCUAAAGUGCUGAAAAUACAAGCAUGAACCACCAUGCCUGGCCUCCACUAUCCCUUUCUAUUUGUGGUGGUCUCAAAUAUUUUGGGUUUGAAUGGGAGGGGGGCAUGUAUAUUUGACGACUUGUUUUGUUUUUGUGAAUGAAAAUGAAAAUUUAUUCCCAGUAAGUGCAAGCUUUAAGUGAAGCACUCAGUUUAUGAGGUCUUACUGAUGUUUCCUCUCUAGGUACUGCAGUUAAAAUCUUCCUGGUCUAAAAUGGUAAAAACUAUUGAGGUAUUCAAAUGAUAAAUACUUCAUGAACUGAGAUUGUAUUGAAAAUGGAGAGCUCUGAUAGAAAGGUUGACCCUGGCAUUUAUAUAAGGAAAAAGACAACUUUUGUCUCCCUCUACACAGAAAGCUAUAUUCAGUAGUUACAGGAUUUGUACAUUGUGAAUCCUGAAGGGAUCUCUAAACAUCUGUGUCUUUAGAAGUAGUGUCACCUCUAGUAAAAGAGGGCCUGUAGAAUUGAGUAGUGGCAGCCUGUGAUGUAUGUGAAUUUUGUCUGCAAGUCUCUAGUGACUGUUUUCUCCAAUUCUAUUUAGUAAAAUUAUACUUAAUUUCAGUUGUUAAUAUGUGCUUCCAAAGUAAAGUCCAUACUUGUUGAAUAUGAUAUGGUAAAAACCAAAUACUUAUUUGGAGACAGUGGAGGGGAUGGUAGUAAUUGAGAGACAGUGUCAGAUGGAGCAAUGGCUUUACAAUUGUUUUGACUGCAAUCCACAGUUAGACAUUUCACAUUGCUGCCCCAUGACAACAUCCCUAUCCACCACCACCCAAAAACAAGUUAUUUAUCAAUCUUGCUAUAAGCAACGGUGACUGAUUUGUUUUUUUUCCUACUUUAUUUAAAAAGAAAAUGAUAGUCUCAAACCCUUACGUUAAUGUUACAGCACAUUAAUUCUACAGAUUGUUCUAACACUUAGAACUAAAAGUGUUCAAGAUUCGAUUUUGUUACAUUCUCUGUGUAAGCUUAAAGUUACUAACUUUUCUGAGUUUCCAUUUUAUUGAUUAAAACUGGGAUAAUAAAAGUAUUUUACACCAUGUUAUAACUUGGUUAGAAUGACAUAACCUGAGUGAGGUGGUUGUUCCAGGCACUUACUAACCACACAGUCAAUGGGUAUGUUCUCUCCGAAGUUUGUUAGCGUAGGGAAUUGGGAGGAUGCCACUGAUAAUAAUGGUGACACUUAUUCAGAGGAAAACUAAUUCCGUUUAGACAUGCUAGAGUUUAGUCAUAUCACUUGGAAGCAAACCAAUGUAAAAUAGUUUCAAAUAAGCAAAUUUUUAAAAAAUGUUAAAUGCAAACCAAGCAGUAUUAAAGCUUUGGAGACUUAAUGAUUGAGUCUUCUUAAAGCUACAGAAGAUUGACUAAAUACACCUACAACUGUUUCACUCUACCAGAUUUCUGUUAACAUUCUCCAGAAUUUAAACUGCAGAAUCAGUCAUUUAUAUGACUGUUUGUCUGUAUUAGCAGAGAUAUGACAUGUAUCAGAGAUAGGUAGUUAUGGGGAAAUAAUACAAGACUUGGAAUUAAACCUAGAGUAGAUGAUUUAUACAAAGUAACCCACCAACUACCUUAAUUUCUAUGAUUCAGUUUCUUCAUCUACAAAAUAUUAUUUCACAAAAUUGCAAUUGUCAAAGGGACAAGUAAAUGUAGGGUCCCUGGAAAAAUGUUUAGUGAAAUGUUAUUUUAUCAUAAUAAAAAAUGUAUGAUUGGUUUUCAGUUUAAGAUUGAAUCAAGCAUAGCAUUCUUUGUAAUGGCAGGAGAUUAAUAACAUCCUAGAAUAUGUCUUUAAAAGAAGUAUGGAUAAAGAAUCCAUAUGCACCUUUGCACACAUUUUAUGUAAUAAUGAUGCUAUUAAUUUACAAAGUAUGUAGGAUAUUAAAACCAAAUUCUUAAUACCUUAUCUUGAUUCUUUUAAAAUCUGACUAAUGUGUGUGCAAGAUAUUAUUAGAUGAAGUGUUUGUCCAGUAGCUUAGCUUAUAAAUAACCCCUGUUCUAGCUCAUUUUAAACAAUGUAGUAUGAAUGAUGCCAAAAAAACAGGCUAGAACAUUUUCUUCUUUCAAGAUCUUAGAUUUUGUAAACAAGGCUCUGCUCCUGGAACGAAUCUAGGUCAUCAUAACCCAAAAUUGUUUUAAAGAUGAGAGCUCCAAUUAAGUCUCUUAGGUAUUUCUUAGUAUUUUAAUUUUAAGAAUGUGCUUAACUCUUAAAAUAGUAUAUUUGCAUUGCUUUUUGGCCAUUUGGUUUGUUUGUACGUUGUUAUUAUGAAUGCAAGUCAGUGGAUAAUCAUUGCAGCAAAUAUGAUUGCUAGGAAUCUCCUGUAAGUAGAAGUCAAUAUAAUGUAUGGCUUAAUUUAUCCCUGAACUGACAUCACAUUUUGUUAAUAAAAACUAAUUUAAUUAGAUCAUCAAUUUCUCUAUCUACAACUGUUAAUAAUGUUAAAUUUUAACUAUUGUUCAGUCUUCAUUACAAAUUAUUCAGCUGUUAAA